CUUUAAAUGGGUUUGCAAAGGCCCAUCGACCCACUCUCAAUAUAUAUACAAACCUCAUAUAGCCAAUUGCUGCCCUUUUGCUCUUCUUUAAACCCUACCUCUUUGUGUGCUGGUGAAGGAGAGAACUCGAGGAAUUUCCUAUUUGUGAUUCGGAGUGCUUAUCGGAGCAGAUCAGAAUCAGCUAAAGAUGAGACCCAUUUUGAUGAAAGGGCAUGAAAGGCCCU
rnacentral:misc_RNA from 1 species